rnacentral:tRNA from 3 species
GAGAGCGUGGUGUAAGCGGAUAACAUCUCAGUUUGCGAAGCUGAAGACUUGGGGGUUCAAAUCCCUCCGCUCUCG